rnacentral:rRNA from 1 species
ACCCGCUGAACUUAAGCAUAUCAAUAAGCGGAGGAAAAGAAACCAACAGGGAUUGCCCUAGUAACGGCGAGUGAAGCGGCAACAGCUCAAAUUUGAAAUCUGGCCUUCGGGUCCGAGUUGUAAUUUGCAGAGGAUGCUUUUGGUGCGGUACCUUCCGAGUUCCUUGGAACAGGACGCCUUAGAGGGUGAGAGCCCCGUACGGUUGGAUACCAAGCCUCUGUAAAGCUCCUUCGACGAGUCGAGUAGUUUGGGAAUGCUGCUCUAAAUGGGAGGUAAAUUUCUUCUAAAGCUAAAUACCGGCCAGAGACCGAUAGCGCACAAGUAGAGUGAUCGAAAGAUGAAAAGUACUUUGAAAAGAGGGUUAAAUAGCACGUGAAAUUGUUGAAAGGGAAGCGUUUAUGACCAGACCUUUGCCUGGUGGAUCAUCCGGUGUUCUUCACCGGUGCACUUCGCCUGGCUUAGGCCAGCAUCGAUUUUCGUAGGGGGACAAAGACCGCGGGAAUGUGGCUCCCUUCGGGGAGCGUUAUAGCCCGCGGUGUAAUACCCUUGCGGGGAUCGAGGUUCGCGCUCUGCAAGGAUGCUGGCAUAAUGGUCAU